rnacentral:rRNA from 1 species
UACGGAGGGUGCGAGCGUUGUCCGGAAUCACUGGGCGUAAAGGGCGCGUAGGCGGCCUGAUAAGUAGGGGGUGAAAUCCUGCGGCUUAACCGCAGGGCUGCCUUCUAAACUGUCAGGCUAGAGCACAGUAGAGGCAGGUGGAAUUCCGGGUGUAGCGGUGGAAUGCGUAGAGAUCCGGAAGAACACCGGUGGCGAAGGCGGCCUGCUGGGCUAUGGCUGACACUGAGGCGCGACAGCGUGGGGAGCAAACAGG